AGCAAGCACCAAAUAUUCAUGCUUUGUCUGAGCUCAUCGCUACUAAGACUGUCUUUGCCUAAGAACUGCCGACCAAUGUUGUUUUAUUGCGUGCGUUUUUAUAUCCUGGUGGGGACCUAAACCUGAAUAGUUAUUUUGAAAAUGUAAAAGAAAGUGUUCUGUAAGGGGUAGGGGUAGGGGUAGAGUAAGGGGACAAUCCGGACAGUAUAAAACCGCUGCAAACAGCAAAACCGCUGUUUUUUUAGUUGUUUGUAGGGAGAGAUGCGCAGACGCGCAGCAGGUAACACACAACCCAGCAAGCAAUAGCCGUCAGUUCACCGUCUCUGUUCACUAUAGACCCGAUAUAGUCCGGCUAUGUGUGACCCCCUUCUAGCCCAAAAACCUUGAAUUUGGAUACAUGUCAUUUUUUGGCAAAAUAACUUGUGAGAUGUAUGAUAUUCCAUCACGUAAGCAAAGUGAACAACGUUUACAAUGUGUUUGAUUUCAUUUCUUUGACAUGUUCUAUGCGUAGCCUGUUUGUAGCCAAGAUUUAGCUCGUAGUCAGACCGGCUAUUUGUAGCCCACUCAUAGUCAAAUCUGAUUCAUUGUAGUUUUUGGCAGGCAGCGCAUGAGAUAGUUGAUAUACCAUCAUGUUUGCGGUGUCAAUAAUAUCUACUAAGAUGUCAGUGUCAUUUAAUGACAUGAUAUAUAUGUAGCCACGUUUUAGCGCUGAGCUGGAUGGGCUAUGUGCAGUCUGCUUUUAGCCCAACCGGCGAAAUCGAGGCAAUCAGUGUCUAAUUUUAACAGCUUGGCUAUAGCCCAGUAUCAGACCAGCAAUGAGCAUGGCCAAAAUAGUCUUAAAAUAUUUAUAUUUUAUUUCAUUAUUUUAUAGCAUUAUUAAAUAAUGCAUUAUUAAUUAUGCCAAAAUAAUGCUAAUUUAAAUGUUUCAAAAGUUUAAUUGCAUUUAAUAAUAUGAUGUCAUGCAUUCCACAGCCUGUUAAGCGUAACAUUCAUACACAUUAUACAACAUAAUUUGACUUUCUUUCAAUUUAUAAAUAAAUAUGCAAUAACAAUUCCCAACCGCUAGAUGGCAAUUGUCGCCCUACUGAGACAUGACUACUGGCAACGCGAGACUUAAAAGUUAGUAGAGAGCACUGCUGCAAGAUCCCGCGAUAAUUCCGCCGUUUUGAAUUUUGUUUUUACACGAGAGAACACUAAGUUUACCUGUGGGAAAUCAACGGGCAAACAACAAACAAUAAAGGACUUUCCUGCUUGGUCUUGGUGUCAAAGUUGUGCAGAAUUGAAUGAAGAAAUCUCAAAGACAGUGCCAGAAGGAUGCUGGAAAGAUGCAGUGAUGACCAACUUGUACUUGAGGAAUGCAGUUGGGAAACAUUUUAUACAAGAAAAAAAACAAUAAUGAAUCAUUUCCUUUGAGUUCACUGUUGGUUGUUUUAUUUGUUAAAAUAAGUAAACCAACAAAUUGUUUAAUCUUUUUUUAAUCUAAUUUUUUUUUUUUUUACGUUGUCAUUUAUCCGCAAUGUUUUAAUGUUAAGU